CCUACGGGUGGCAGCAGUGAGGAAUAUUGGUCAAUGGCCGGAAGGCUGAACCAGCCAAGCCGCGUGAGGGAGGAAGGCGCAGAGCGUCGCAGACCUCUUUUGCCGGGGGACAAAAGGCCGGACGGGUCCGGUUCUGAGGGUACCCGGAGAAAAAGCAUCGGCUAACUCCGUGCCAGCAGUCGCGGUAAUACGGAGGAUGCGAGCGUUAUCCGGAUUCAGUGGGUUUAAGGUGUGCGCAGGCGGGCCUUUAAGCCGGCGGUGAAAUCGCGGGGCUCAACCCCGCCGAGGCGUCGGAACUGGGGGCCUUGAGUGCGGCGGAGGCAUGCGGAAUUCUCGGUGUAGCAGUGAAAUGCGUAGAUAUCGAGAGGAACACUCGUGGCGAAGGCGGGUUCCUGGACAUUAACUGACGCUGAGGCACGAAGGCCAGGGGAGCGAAAGGGAUUAGAUACCCCUGUAGUC
rnacentral:rRNA from 1 species